AAGAGCGAGACUUCAUCUCAAAAACAAACAGGAAACCUGUCAGAUCAUGUGCAAGAAGUAAGCGAAGUGGUGAGAACUGGGUGGGGGAGACACAGCCCUCGACACAGGGAGAGCACCCCGUGCGGGAGGAGCCUUCAGUACAAGAGACUUGGUCUGCCAUCAAGUGGCUCUCUGCACUGUUGACAAUUGUCAGUCAUUUAAGACAGAGGAGGCCGGGCAUGGUGACUCAUGCCUGUUAUCCCAGCAUUUUGGGAGGCCAAAGCAAGUGGAUCACUUCAGGCCUGCAGUUCGAGACCACCUGGGACAACAUGGUUCAUUCACCUGUUGCCAACAACAUGAGGGAGUUUCUCCACAGCCCUUGAUUCCUGAAUUGUUCAACAAAUCAACAGUCACCAAUAC